rnacentral:rRNA from 1 species
UACGGGGGGGCAAGCGUUGUUCGGAAUUACUGGGCGUAAAGGGCUCGUAGGUGGCCAACUAAGUCAGACGUGAAAUCCCUCGGCUUAACCGGGGAACUGCGUCUGAUACUGGAUGGCUUGAGUUUGGGAGAGGGAUGCGGAAUUCCAGGUGUAGCGGUGAAAUGCGUAGAUAUCUGGAGGAACACCGGUGGCGAAGGCGGCAUCCUGGACCAACACUGACACUGAUGAGCGAAAGCCAGGGGAGCAAACGGG